rnacentral:rRNA from 1 species
UACUACCGAAGCUACGGCAUCAGUAAUGAUGGGUAGGGGAGCUUCCCAUACGGGUUGAAGCAUGACCGUAAGGACAUGGGGUCAGUAUGGGAGUGAGGAUGUUGGCAUGAGUAGCGAGAUGUGGGUGGGAAUCCCACAGGCCGUAAACCCAAGGUUUCCAGGGGAAGGUUCGUCCGCCCUGGGUUAGUCGGGACCUAAGCUGAGGC